rnacentral:rRNA from 1 species
AGAAUAAGCCCCGGCUAACUUCGUGCCAGCAGCCGCGGUAAUACUAAGGGGGCUAGCGUUGUUCGGAAUUACUGGGCGUAAAGUGCGCGUAAGCGGCUGGGCAUAUCGGGUGUGAAAUUCCCGGGCUCAACUCGGGGUGUGCCUUCGAUACUGAUCCUCUUGAUUGCAGGAGAGGGUAGUGGAAUUCCCUGUGUAGAGGUGAAAUUCAUAUAUAUUGGGAAGAACACCAGUGGCGAAGGCGGCUCACUGGCCCGGUACUGACGCUGAGGCGCGAAAGCGUGGGGAGCAAACAGGAUUAGAUACCCUGGUAGUCCACGCCAUAAACUAUG